rnacentral:rRNA from 1 species
AUUGAACGCUGGCGGCAGGCCUAACACAUGCAAGUCGAGCGGAUGAAGGGAGCUUGCUCCUGGAUUCAGCUGCGGACGGGUGAGUAAUGCCUAAGAAUCUGCCUGGUAGUGGGGUAUAACGUCCGGAAACGGGCGCUAAUACCGCAUACGUCCCGAGGGAGAAAGUGUGGGAUCUUCGGACCUCCCGCUAUCAGAUGGGCCUAGGUCGGAUUAGCUAGUUGGUGGGGUAAAGGCCUACCAAGGCGACGAUCCGUAACUGGUCUGAGAGGAUGAUCAGUCACACUGGAACUGAGACACGGUCCAGACUCCUACGGGAGGCAGCAGUGGGGAAUAUUGGACAAAGGGCGAAAGCCUGAUCCAGCCAUGCCGCGUGUGUGAAGAAGGUCUUCGGAUUGUAAAGCACUUUAAGUUGGGAGGAAGGGCAGUAAGUUAAUACCUUGCUGUUUUGACGUUACCAACAGAAUAAGCACCGGCUAACUUCGUG